rnacentral:rRNA from 1 species
AUUGAACGCUGGCGGCAGGCCUAACACAUGCAAGUCGAGCGGAGCGGCGGACGGGUGAUUAAUGCCUAGGAAUCUGCCUGGUGGUGGGGGAUAAAGUCCGGAAACGGGCGAUAAUACCACAUACUAUCAGAUGAGCCUAGGUGGGAUUCGCUGGUUGGUGGGGUAAAGGCCUACCAAGGCGACGAUGCGUAACUGCUCUGAGAGGAGGAUCAGUCACACUGGAACUGAGACACGGUCCAGACUCCUACGGGAGGCAGCAGUGGGGAAUAUUGGGCAAUGGGCGAAAGCCUGACCCAGCCAUGCCGCGUGUGUGAAGAAGGUCUUCGGAUUGUAAAGCACUUUAAGUUGGGAGGCGUUACCAACAGAAUAAGCAACGGCUAACUUCGUGCCAGCAGCCGCGGUAAUAC